CAGUAGUCACCCGGGGCGCCGCAAGGCCUCCCGGGUAACCUACCACCCUUUGUUUAUUACACUUUGUUGCUUUGGCAGGCCUGCCCUCGGGCUGCUGGCUCCGGCCGGCGAGCGCUUGCCAGAGGACCUAAACUCAGUUAUUUAUGUCGUCCGAGUAAAUAUAUAAUAUUUA
rnacentral:misc_RNA from 1 species